rnacentral:rRNA from 1 species
UACGAAGGGGGCUAGCGUUGCUCGGAAUCACUGGGCGUAAAGCGCACGUAGGCGGAUUCUUAAGUCAGGGGUGAAAUCCUGGAGCUCAACUCCAGAACUGCCUUUGAUACUGAGGGUCUUGAGUUCGGGAGAGGUGAGUGGAACUGCGAGUGUAGAGGUGAAAUUCGUAGAUAUUCGCAAGAACACCAGUGGCGAAGGCGGCUCACUGGCCCGAGUACUGACGCUGAGGUGCGAAAGCGUGGGAGCAACAGGG